GCUCAUUUAUACCUGAUAAAAACGGAUCCAUUGCCACUUCGGUAGUAGUUUGCCGCAUAAGUUCCUGCUGGGAGAGCAAUGUUCAUAUUUCAAUAAAAUGUAAAGUUGUUGUGUACAUGAAAAUAAUCGCCCUUGAGUUUUUGAUGAAAAUAUGGUCCCAGGCGCUCUCGUUCUAACUGGAGGGAAUGGAGACGUUGACAUGCCUGAAUUGUUUGACUGCUUUGAAUUCCUCCUGCACCAGGCUGCUGUAACCAUGUUUGCGGGAGCAUAGCGCCAGAAGUUGGAGCACGCUGUAAAUGUGUAGCUGUAAAGAGGAAAGAAAAAUUGGAUUUUUAAAUUGGUGUUCGCGCCUGUUCCCAUCCGUCAGGCAAAGGUCCCAACGAACUUGUAGCUGCACUAGAAUUUUUGGUACCACUUUCUACAGCUGCAGCUACGGCUGCCACACUAGCAGCAGCCGCAGUUUUUCGUGGAUCUUCCCAC